CCUGGCUCAGAACGAACGCUGGCGGCAGGCCUAAUACAUGCAAGUCGAGCGCGCCCUUCGGGGUGAGCGGCGGACGGGUGAGUAACGCGUGGGAAUAUGCCCUUCUCUAAGGAAUAGCCUCUGGAAACGGAGAGUAAUACCUUAUACGCCCUUCGGGGGAAAGAUUUAUCGGAGAAGGAUUAGCCCGCGUUAGAUUAGGUAGUUGGUGGGGUAAUGGCCUACCAAGCCUACGAUCUAUAGCUGGUUUGAGAGGAUGAUCAGCCACACUGGGACUGAGACACGGCCCAGACUCCUACGGGAGGCAGCAGUAGGGAAUCUUAGACAAUGGGGGCAACCCUGAUCUAGCCAUGCCGCGUGUGUGAUGAAGGCCCUAGGGUCGUAAAGCACUUUCGCCAGAGAUGAUAAUGACAGUAUCUGGUAAAGAAACCCCGGCUAACUCCGUGCCAGCAGCCGCGGUAAUACGGAGGGGGUUAGCGUUGUUCGGAAUUACUGGGCGUAAAGCGCACGUAGGCGGAUUAGUAAGUUAGAGGUGAAAUCCCAGGGCUCAACCCUGGAACUGCCUUUAAUACUGCUAGUCUUGAGUUCGAGAGAGGUAAGUGGAAUUCCGAGUGUAGAGGUGAAAUUCGUAGAUAUUCGGAGGAACACCAGUGGCGAAGGCGGCUUACUGGCUCGAUACUGACGCUGAGGUGCGAAAGUGUGGGGAGCAAACAGGAUUAGAUACCCUGGUAGUCCACACCGUAAACGAUGAAUGCCAGACGUCAGCAAGUAUACUUGUU
rnacentral:rRNA from 1 species